rnacentral:rRNA from 1 species
ACAGUGAGUAGCUUGCUAUGAGCUGUUUUAGCGGCGGACGGGUGAGUAACGCGUGAGCAACCUUUCCCAGACAGGGGAAUAACACACCGAAAGGUGUACUAAUACCGCAUAAGACCACGGGAUCACAUGGUUCUGAGGUAAAAGAUUUAUCGGUUUGGGGUGGGCUCGCGUCCGAUUAGCUAGUUGGUGAGAUAACAGCCCACCAAGGCGACGAUCGGUAGCCGACCUGAGAGGGUGAUCGGCCACAUUGGGACUGAGACACGGCCCAGACUCC